rnacentral:rRNA from 1 species
AUACGUAGGGUGCGAGCGUUGUCCGGAAUUACUGGGCGUAAAGAGCUCGUAGGUGGUUUGUCGCGUCGUCUGUGAAAUUCCGGGGCUUAACUCCGGGCGUGCAGGCGAUACGGGCAUAACUUGAGUACUGUAGGGGAGACUGGAAUUCCUGGUGUAGCGGUGAAAUGCGCAGAUAUCAGGAGGAACACCGGUGGCGAAGGCGAGUCUCUGGGCAGUAACUGACGCUGAGGAGCGAAAGCAUGGGUAGCGAACAGGAUUAGAUACCCUGGUAGUCCAUGCCGUAAACGGUGGGCGCUAGGUGUAGGGGUCUUCCACGACUUCUGUGCCGUAGCUAACGCAUUAAGCGCCCCGCCUGGGGAGUACGGCCGCAAGGCUAAAACUCAAAGGAAUUGACGGGG